UACGUAGGAGACGAGCGUUGUCCGGAAUCACUGGGCGUAAAGCGCGUGUAGGCGGAUGGGCAAGUCUGCUGUAAAAGGCCCUGGCUUAACCAGGGUAUGUCGGUGGAAACUGCUCGUCUGGAGGACGGUAGAGGUAGGUAGAAUUCCCGGUGUAGUGGUGAAAUGCGUAGAGAUCGGGAGGAAUACCUGUGGCGAAGGCGGCCUACUGGGCCGGACCUGACGCUGAGACGCGAAGGCGUGGGGAGCGAACGGGAGUUAGAUACCCGAGAGU
rnacentral:rRNA from 1 species